AAUGUGGUUAAUGAUGCUCAACUUUUUUCCCCAUCUUAUCGACCAUGGUGAAUGCAAUCUGACUUUAGCCAGUUUGAUCUGAAACCACAUU
ensembl:snoRNA small nucleolar SNORD12/SNORD106